CCGAGUUUACAACUCCCAAACCCCUGUGAACAUACCACUUGUUGCCUCGGCGGAUCAGCCCGCUCCCGGUAAAACGGGACGGCCCGCCAGAGGACCCCUAAACUCUGUUUUUAUAAUGUAAUUUCUGAGUAAACAAGCAAAUAAAUUA
rnacentral:misc_RNA from 1 species